rnacentral:rRNA from 1 species
GACGAACGCUGGCGGCGUGCUUAACACAUGCAAGUCGAACGGUAAGGCCCUUCGGGGUACACGAGUGGCGAACGGGUGAGUAACACGUGGUGAUCUGCCCUGCACUUCGGGAUAAGCCUGGGAAACUGGGUCUAAUACCGGAUAGGACCAUGGACUUCACGGUUUGUGGUGGAAAGCUUUUGCGGUGUGGGAUGGGCCCGCGGCCUAUCAGCUUGUUGGUGGGGUAAUGGCCUACCAAGGCGACGACGGGUUAGCCGGCCUGAGAGGGUGUCCGGCCACACUGGGACUGAGAUACGGCCCAGACUCCUACGGGAGGCAGCAGUGGGAAUAUUGCACAAUGGGCGCAAGCCUGAUGCAGCGACGCCGCGUGAGGGAUGACGGCCUCGGUU